GUCUAUGGCCAUGCCAUCCUGAACACGCCUGAUCCCGUCUGAUCUCGGAAGCUAAGCCUUGGAUGGGAGAUCACCUAGGAAGACCAGGUGCUGUAGGCA
rnacentral:rRNA from 1 species